UAUAUAUAGUGUGCGGCUAGGAUGCUUAUGGAAGUACGGAAGGCUUCAUGCUUCCAUUUUGUUUUCGAUGUUCGGACUUUCGAAUCGACGAUCGGCUCCGUUAGACUUGAUCUAGAAUAUUUGAAGUAUUUAGAAAAUAAAUUUUGCGAUUUUUUGAUAUCAUUUGCCUAGUGAUCGAAGUGGCUCAAAAUCAACGGCUGAAAAUAAAAAUCUUACAAAAUAUGAUGAUAUGACAUUAAAAUUUUAGAUCAAA
rnacentral:lncRNA from 1 species